rnacentral:rRNA from 1 species
UAACACAUGCAAGUCGAACGGAACCUUUAGGGGUUUAGUGGCGGACGGGUGAGUAACGCGUGAGAAUCUGGCUCUAGGUUCGGGACAACCACUGGAAACGGUGGCUAAUACCGGGUAUGCCGAGAGGUGAAAGGUUAACUGCCKGGAGAUGAGCUCGCGUCUGAUKAGCUAGUUGGUGGUGUAAGGGACUACCAAGGCGACGAUCAGUAGCUGGUSUGAGAGGAUGAUCAGCCACACYGGAASUGAGACACGGUCCAGACUCCUACGGGAGGCAGCAGUGGGGAAUUUUCCGCAAUGGGCGAAAGCCUGACGGAGCAAUACCGCGUGAGGGAGGAAGGCUCUUGGGUUGUAAACCUCUUUUCUCAGGGAAUAAGCAAGUGAAGGUACCUGAGGAAUCAGCAUCGGCUAACUCCGUGCCAGCAGCCGCGGUAAUACGGAGGAUGCAAGCGUUAUCCGGAAUGAUUGGGCGUAAAGCGUCCGUAGGUGGCUGUGUGUGUCUAUUGUUAAAGAGUUUGGCUCAACCAAAUAAGGGCGGUAGAAACUACACAGCUAGAGUGCGUUCGGGGCAGAGGGAAUUCCUGGUGUAGCGGUGAAAUGCGUAGAGAUCAGGAAGAACACCGGUGGCGAAAGCGCUCUGCUAGGCCGCAACUGACACUGAGGGACGAAAGCUAGGGGAGCGAAUGGGAUUAGAUACCCCAGUAGUCCUAGCCGUAAACGAUGGAUACUAGGCGUUGAGAGUAUCGACCCUCUCAGUGCCGUAGCUAACGCGUUAAGUAUCCCGCCUGGGGAGUACGCACGCAAGUGUGAAACUCAAAGGAAUUGACGGGGGCCCGCACAAGCGGUGGAGUAUGUGGUUUAAUUCGAUGCAACGCGAAGAACCUUACCAGGGCUUGACAUGUCUGGAACUCUGGGGAAACUCGGAGGUGCCUUCGGGAGCCAGAACACAGGUGGUGCAUGGCUGUCGUCAGCUCGUGUCGUGAGAUGUUGGGUUAAGUCCCGCAACGAGCGCAACCCUCGUACUUAGUUGCCAGCAUUUCGGAUGGGCACUCUAAGGAGACUGCCGGUGACAAACCGGAGGAAGGUGGGGAUGACGUCAAGUCAGCAUGCCCCUUACGUCCUGGGCUACACACGUACUACAAUGCUACGGACAAAGGGCAGCGAGACUGCGAAGUCAAGCAAAUCUCAGAAACCGUGGCUCAGUUCAGAUCGCAGGCUGCAACUCGCCUGCGUGAAGGAGGAAUCGCUAGUAAUUGCAGGUCAGCAUACUGCAGUGAAUUCGUUCCCGGGCCUUGUACACACCGCCCGUCACACCAUGGAAGCUGGUCACGCCCGAAGUCGUUACCCUAACUUUUCGGAGAGGGGGACGCCGAAGGUAGGACUGGUGACUGGGGUGAAGUCGUAACAAGGUAGCCGUACCGGAAGGUGUGGCUGGAUCACCUCCUUUUAAGGGAGACCUACCCACUCAAAUUACCGAAGACAAGUUGAAGUUGUAAAUAGGUAAUGAGUUGGUCAUCCCAGGUCGGUCGGAGAUUAGAAAAUAUGCUUUCAAACUAUUAGAAUGGUUCGGUGAUCUCAUAGUAAAAUCACAAGCUGAUAGUUAAGUACCAGUUCAGCAACUUAGCAUCAUAAUAUCGUUAGCUAAGACUGCUGGGUGAGAGUCCAGCCAGAACCUUGAAAACUGCAUAGAGAAGCGAAUGUAUGGUAGUUCAGUCAAAAGUGA